ACGCCGCGUGAGUGAUGAAGGCUUUCGGGUCGUAAAACUCUGUUGUUAGGGAAGAACAAGUACAAGAGUAACUGCUUGUACCUUGACGGUACCUAACCAGAAAGCCACGGCUAACUACGUGCCAGCAGCCGCGGUAAUACGUAGGUGGCAAGCGUUAUCCGGAAUUAUUGGGCGUAAAGCGCGCGCAGGCGGUUUCUUAAGUCUGAUGUGAAAGCCCACGGCUCAACCGUGGAGGGUCAUUGGAAACUGGGGAACUUGAGUGCAGAAGAGAAAAGCGGAAUUCCACGUGUAGCGGUGAAAUGCGUAAAGAUGUGGAGGAACACCAGUGGCGAAGGCGGCUUUUUGGUCUGUAACUGACGCUGAGGCGCGAAAGCGUGGGGAGCAAACAGGAUUAGAUACCCUGGUAGUCCACGCCGUAGACGAUGAGUGCUAAGUGUUAUAGGGUUUCCGCCCUUUAUUGCUG
rnacentral:rRNA from 2 species